rnacentral:rRNA from 1 species
GACGAACGCUGGCGGCGUGCUUAACACAUGCAAGUCGAACGGAAAGGCCCUGCUUUUGUGGGGUGCUCGAGUGGCGAACGGGUGAGUAACACGUGAGUAACCUGCCCUUGACUUUGGGAUAACUUCAGGAAACUGGGGCUAAUACCGGAUAGGAGCUCCUGCUGCAGGGUGGGGGUUGGAAAGUUUCGGCGGUUGUGGAUGGACUCGCGGCUUAUCAGCUUGUUGGUGGGGUAGUGGCUUACCAAGGCUUUGACGGGUAGCCGGCCUGGGAGGGUGACCGGCCCCAUUGGGACUGCGAUACGGCCCAGACUCCUACGGGAGGCAGCAGUGGGGAAUAUUGCCCAAUGGGCGGAAGCCUGAUGCAGCAACGCCGCGUGCGGGAUGACGGCCUUCGGGUUGUAAACCGCUUUCGCCUGUGACGAAGCGUGAGUGACGGUAAUGGGUAAAGAAGCACCGGCUAACUACGUG